rnacentral:rRNA from 1 species
GACGAACGCUGGCGGCGUGCUUAACACAUGCAAGUCGAACGGUGAAGGAAGAGCUUGCUCUUCCGGAUCAGUGGCGAACGGGUGAGUAACACGUGGGCAACCUGCCCUGACUCUGGGAUAACUCCUCGAAAGAGGUGCUAAUACCGGAUACGACCACUUCGGACAUCCGAUGGUGGUGGAAAGUUUUUCGGUCAGGGAUGGGCCCGCGGCCUAUCAGCUAGUUGGUGGGGUAAUGGCCUACCAAGGCGACGACGGGUAGCCGGCCUGAGAGGGCGACCGGCCACACUGGGACUGAGACACGGCCCAGACUCCUACGGGAGGCAGCAGUGGGGAAUAUUGCGCAAUGGGCGAAAGCCUGACGCAGCGACGCCGCGUGAGGGAUGAAGGCCUUCGGGUUGUAAACCUACUUUCUAGCAGGGACGAAGCGAAAGUGACGGUACCUGCAGAAGAAGCACCGGCUAACUACGUGCCAGCAGCCGCGGUAAU